rnacentral:rRNA from 1 species
GACGAACGCUGGCGGCGUGCUUAACACAUGCAAGUCGAACGGAAAGGCCCUGCUUUUGUGGGGUGCUCGAGUGGCGAACGGGUGAGUAACACGUGAGUAACCUGCCCUUGACUUUGGGAUAACUUCAGGAAACUGGGGCUAAUACCGGAUAGGAGCUCCUGCUGCAUGGUGGGGGUUGGAAAGUUUCGGCGGUUGGGGAUGGACUCGCGGCUUAUCAGCUUGUUGGUGGGGUGGUGGCUUACCAAGGCUUUGACGGGUAGCCGGCCUGAGAGGGUGACCGGCGACAUUGGGACUGAGGUACGGCCCAGACUGCUACGGGAGGCAGCAGUGGGGAAGAUUGAAGAAUGGGCGGAAGCCUGAUGCAGAAACGCUGCGUGCGGGAUGACGGCCUUCGGGUUGUAAACCGAUUUCGCCUGUGACGAAGCGUGAGUGACGGUAAUGGGUAAAGAAGCACCGGCUAACUACGUG